CUGUGAAGUCACUCAAACACGUGUCGCGUCACCACAAAGCGCUCGUGAAGUUGCGCGAGGUGCUCAGUCACCGCUGCUGUUUGUCGUGAGGUAACUUAAACAUUGUGAAAUCUGUCUGUCUGCUGGGUGAAAUAGAAAUGGAAGUAAUGGACAGCCCUCUAAAUCGUAAAGCAUGACAGUUGUUUUUCCACAGGCCCAUCAUUUUGGCCGAAAGGCAGAUCAGUUGGUGGCAAAGGAAAAAUUUGAAGAGGCGAUUUUAUGCCAUAGGAAAGCAGCAGAGCUGAUGAAAGAGGCCUUGUCAGUGACACCGAGUGAACAGGUAAAACAGCAUGUGUCUGACAGACAGGUGGGACUCUAUU